GCAUCAUCAAGAAGUGCGUGUUACAACUGGUUCAUCAAUCUCCUUGAAUGUUAAAAGUGCAGCCAUGGUUCAACCAGUACAUAAUCUAUUAUAGCACAAUACAGAAGAAAACAUGCUUCCAAGAAGCGGCGAAAAUUGUCAGUUCUGACAAAAAUCAUAAAAUUUUAGUACUCCAUCUCGUUACUGUGCAACGGCAGUUAUGAUUCAAUCCCUUGCGAGAACCUAAACUACUAUAGUACAAAAUGAGCAGAAACAAGACAUUAGACUAAAAUGCAAGUUGACAAGAUAAAAGCGAGACCAUCAGCUUGGCAAGUCCAGAAUCACUUCAGACAGGAUUAAAAUGGUGAAUUCACUUCGGAAUAGCCUACAUAAAUUACUUCAGACAUUAACUGACCUCAACGCCGAAACCCUUGACGUAGACAUUUGUAAAGAGCUCAGAAGCAUC
rnacentral:lncRNA from 1 species